rnacentral:tRNA from 1 species
GCCUCAUUGGCUCAGGGGCAGAGCGUCUGUCUUAUAAACAGAAGGCCGCUGGUUCGAUUCCAGCACGUGGCA